CGUUCAGGCCGUAUCAGCCCUGAAGGCGCCCGAUCUCGUCUGAUCUCGGAAGCUAAGCAGGGUCGGGCCUGGGUAGUAUCUUGGAUGGGAGACCACCUGGGAAUCCCGGGUGCUCGAGGCU
rnacentral:rRNA from 1 species